rnacentral:lncRNA from 1 species
UCACCAAAACAAUUGUUGAAAAUAACCCAAAGCAACACUAAGUCUAUAUUUAAAUUACCUUGCUUUAUCAUUCAAGUCCCAAAGUACUGUGUAUAUCUUUUAACAAAUUAUCCACUUUCACUAUUAUUGAUCUAAAUUAACCACCUAUGCCAUUGUGAAAAAAUAAUAUAAAGCCCAAAAUAUCACAACUAUUUGCGCCAAUGAAAUUUAACUAAUAUUUUGUAAACAAAGAUGUUCACAAUUUAUAUUCUGCAUAGUCCAG